CAGCCGCCGCGGGAAUACGUAGGUGGCAAGCGUUGUCCGGAAUUAUUGGGCGUAAAGGGCUCGCAGGCGGUUUCUUAAGUCUGAUGUGAAAGCCCCCGGCUCAACCGGGGAGGGUCAUUGGAAACUGGGAAACUUGAGUGCAGAAGAGGAGAGUGGAAUUCCACGUGUAGCGGUGAAAUGCGUAGAGAUGUGGAGGAACACCUGUGGCGAAAGCGGCUCACUGGACCAUUUCUGACGCUGAUGCACGAAAGCUAGGGGAGCAAACAGGAUUAGAUACCCCAGUAGUCCCUGUCUCUUAUAC
rnacentral:rRNA from 1 species